rnacentral:rRNA from 1 species
UACGGAGGGUGCAAGCGUUGUUCGGAAUUAUUGGGCGUAAAGCGCGUGUAGGCGGUCUGUUAAGUCUGAUGUGAAAGCCCCGGGCUCAACCCGGGAAGUGCAUUGGAUACUGGCAGACUUGAGUACGGGAGAGGGAAGUGGAAUUCCGAGUGUAGGGGUGAAAUCCGUAGAUAUUCGGAGGAACACCGGUGGCGAAGGCGGCUUCCUGGACCGAUACUGACGCUGAGACGCGAAAGCGUGGGGAGCAAACAGGAUUAGAUACCCUGGUAGUCCACGCCGUAAACGAUGGGUACUAGGUGUCGCGGGUAUUGACCCCUGCGGUGCCGAAGCUAACGCAUUAAGUACCCCGCCUGGGGAGUACGGCCGCAAGGCUAAA